rnacentral:misc_RNA from 1 species
GUCUCUGCUUGCCUCUAUUGUUCUGUGGUUGGCCUUUUCAUUUUGUGAAAGUCUUCAAUUAAGAUCAAUGGAGAUAGAGCGGCGACGAGCCCAAGUAAUACUCCAGUUGGUUCAGCAAGCCUCCGCUCUUAAUGGCUCAUCUAUCGCUACACUCAUCGUCGAAGCCACUUCUCAUCCGUAUCUCUUCUCUUUUUCCGAGAUUCUAGCUGUUUCCAAUGUACUCCAGCUUGAAG